UUGAGGAAUUCAGGGCCUUUAAACAAACUUGGUGGGGGCCGCGUGAAUAACUGGCAGUGACCAAAGUGCAGUCCAGGGGCCAACAGGGGUCUGAGAGGCAGCCCAACAAGGGAACCACAUCAUCUGCAGCAAUUAAAACUACUUAAAUGCCACUUCUCUCCUAUAACAAGAGUCCUUCUUGCAACAGGGGGGAUGUAAUGCUGCUGACCAUGACCUCUGACCUCCCUGCACAUGGGUCCCUUAUAACUGUCCCUACAUCAUAAUUACCCAACCGCUGAGGAGGAAAGCUGCUGCUGCCCUCCACAAUAAGGCCCUUAGCCUAUGAAAGGGUUUCUUGGUCAUAUUCUCCCUCGUCCUUGUGUUGUAGGCCUAUAUGUCAUUCUGUCUUUAAUAAAGUUGGUUAAGACCAAACAAAGUUUGUUUUUAUGUGAGUGUAUAUGUAGAGGA